rnacentral:lncRNA from 1 species
CCGCACAUGUGCGCAAACCCAGGAUCACACGCUCCAUCCAUGUACGCGUGACCCGCGAUCCGGGAUUCCCACUUGGUCGCCCAUGUGGACGAGGCCGCGGAUAGGCCAACUAGCCCAAGCCCACCAACCCGCACCUUCCAUAGACCUUUUAUCGUGCAGCCCGCAUAGACUGGCCAGCCCCACCCAUAUAGGUGACCCAAACCCAACCACCUUUUACCCUUUU